rnacentral:rRNA from 1 species
AUGGAACAUAAUCGUGCUCCUGGUCCCAAUAGUAUUCCCGCUGAAUUCUACCAGCAUUGUUGGGAGGUGGUAUGUGCAGAUCUCUUUAGACUUUUUGAGUGGUUUUAUGAGGGAAAAUUAGAUGUGCAACAUUUAAACUAUGGUAUUAUCACCCUUUUGCCCAAAACUUCUGCAGUGAAUAAAAUACAACAGUACAGACCUAUAUGCUUGCUGUGUUGCCCUUAUAAGCUAACUACAAAAGUCAUGGAUAGGAGGGCUAGUAUCUAUGCCCCCAAGCUUUUUAGCAUUCAGCAGAAUGCCUUCAUAAAGGGGAGGAACAUUAUGGACGGAGUUUUGUCGCUACAUGAGAUCAUGCACUAUACUCAUGUGAAAAAACAAACUGGUAUCAUCCUUAAGUUGGAUUUUGAAAAAGCUUAUGACAAGGUCAAUUGGGACUUCCUCCUCGAUUGCCAUGUCAAGCGGUGGGUUCAAUACCAAGUGGUGUGGAUGGGUAUCUCAGAUCCUACGUGA